rnacentral:rRNA from 1 species
UAGAAUUCCAGGUGUAGCGGUGAAAUGCGUAGAGAUCUGGAGGAAUACCGGUGGCGAAGGCGGCCCCCUGGACAAAGACUGACGCUCAGGUGCGAAAGCGUGGGGAGCAAACAGGAUUAGAUACCCUGGUAGUCCACGCCGUAAACGAUGUCUACUUGGAGGUUGUGCCCUUGAGGCGUGGCUUCCGGAGCUAACGCGUUAAGUAGACCGCCUGGGGAGUACGGCCGCAAGGUUAAAACUCAAAUGAAUUGACGGGGGCCCGCACAAGCGGUGGAGCAUGUGGUUUAAUUCGAUGCAACGCGAAGAACCUUACCUGGUCUUGACAUCCACAGAACUUUCCAGAGAUGGAUUGGUGCCUUCGGGAACUGUGAGACAGG